rnacentral:rRNA from 1 species
AUGCUGCUCCGAUCCGGGCUGCGCGUCGGCGUUGCCACCCACGAGGAAGCCGGACGGGCGACCGUGCCGGGAAGACGAAGCAGGGCAGGCCCGGACCGACUCGCCGACUUCCCCGAAGAUAUCCUGCAGGAGAUCCUCGUCCACCUUCCGGCCAAGUCCGUGCUCCGAUGCCGCGCCGUCUGCCGGCAAUGGCGUCGCCUCGCCUCCGACCCCGUGUUCCUCCUGGACCACCACCGCCGCCAGCCGGAGCUCGCCCUAAUCAGCUCCUAUCGAACCAGCACUGGCGACUACCCUAGCCUCGAAGCCCUCCACCUCCGGGGCGCCGAGUUCAGACCACUCUUCGGUUUUCCCGAACUCUCUCGCUUCCCCCUCACCGUGGAUGGCUCCUGCGACGGCCUCUUCAUCGUCGGCCACUACAUCUGCAACCCGGCCACGCGGCAGUCGGCGACCGUCAGCCCAAACCUCAAGCUUCCUAUUGACAAACUGAUCGGCCUCUUCCGGCACCAACCUUCAGGGGAGUACCGUGUCUUGUACUGGAGAAACCUCCCUUAUGCCUUGUCCAACCUCCCUUGGCAUGUGAUGCCAUGCCCACACGAGUACCGCGUCCUCACCGUGGGAACCAACAAAUCGUGGCGCGUCGACUGUCCGUUAAUGGAGGUGAUAGCCGAGAGACCAGCCAUCUUUGGCGCGCCGGUCCUUCUCAAUGGCAACCUUCAUAUACACUGGAGGAGACCGUCGGGUGUCCGCUACCACAAGAUACUGAUGUUUGACACGACGGCAGAGACGUUCCGGCGAAUGAUCCCGCCGGCUGUGAACCCCCACCAUGUCAUGCACUUGCUUGACAUGGGUGGCAAGCUUGCUGCGUCCAUCAGCAAGGACGAUACGACGGUGAUGAGCAUAUUCAUACUGAAGAACGGUGAUGUUUGGGCAUUCCAGUAUCAGAUUAAAGUGCCGGUGAUGGAUCUCGAGAAGCGUUUUCAGGAGCAGCAGGGGAAUUGGUGGGCGAAGGUCGUGUCUGAGGAGGGAGAUGUGCUUGUCAGCUGCUAUGGCCAACUGUUGCAUUGUGACAAAGGGGGCAAUUUGGUAGCCAACUUCAAGGUUGAUGAUGAAAUGCCCGUGGUCGUUCCUCAUAGGCUAAAGGAGAGUCUUAUUCAGCAUACGUUUUUCCUAGAGAAGAGUUGA